UGUUGGUGGAUCUAUUGAAUAACAUUUAUAAAGUCAGUAUUUUUAGUUUUGAUACUGUCUUGAAGCAUCAUAUUUAAAUUUUUUUGUAGCUUAUAUUACAAGUAAAACAGUUUACUUUUAGUUACAAAAGCAGUAAAAUGGUUAUUCCACCUUCAGAUUGAUUGCUUUUGCUUCCACAUAUGAGCUAGAACAUGGGGACCUUGUCUUUCUAUGUCUGACUGGAGGCUGGGAAGAUCUGAGGUGGGAGAGAAUAGAAGGAGGCUGGAUAAAGGGCACUAAAACAUAGCAGAGAGAAGGAACAAGUUCUAGUGUUCUGCAGCACAGUGGGGUGCCUAUUGUCUACAAUGACUAUUAUAUAUUUUAUGAAUAACUAGAAGAAAGGAGAUUAAAACCUCCAAAACUAAUGAUAAGGAUGAAGAAAUGAUAAUUAGCCUGACUUGAUAAGUACACAAAGCAUAUGUGUAUUGAAAUGUCCUAUACCCCAUAAAUACAGGUAUAAUUAUUUCAUGUCAAUGAAAAACUUUAAAAAUUGAAGGAAGUAGAAAUGUCAAUCACUCAUGAUUUUAUCAUUGCAUAUUGUAUACAUGUGUUGAAUUAUCACUCUGUACUCCAUACAUAACAUACAAUUACAAUUAUAAUAAAAUUUCUAAAGGUAUUAAUGAUAAUAAAUGCUUAUGAUAUUAUGGUCCAAUGUGUAUUUCUAAGACUAAAACAAAUUCUUUUUUUUUUAAAGUCUCUUCAUUGUCUUUCUGCUGAGAUUCUGUUACAUGCUUAUCACUUGUCAAGUUUCUAAAGAUUGCCAACUAACAGCUGCAAGCACAGUGGAGUCUAGGUCAGAGCAAACACAGGGGAGCACUCAGACUGGAAUGAAACUUGACAUCUCCCAUCUUCGUGCUUAUUUCUGGGUCUCUAAGGCUGGCUUCCAGCCAGGGCAACUUCUUCAGGUUGCAGAAUAUGAAGGAGCAGGUGGCAGGAGAAACAGUCUGGAAAGCACUAUGCAGAUCCUCUCCCUUUGUUUCCAAUGGAUAGUUUAUCUUAAUUAUAAGAUGUUGAUUCCAUUUUCUAAAAAAAAAAAAAAUGGACUGCAUAUUUUCUGAGGCAGAUUUUUUUUUUAAGUUUCUCCACUGAAACUUUGUCUUUCUCUUUUUUAUGCCUUAGAAAACGCUUUUCCAAAAAUCUCAGAAGGAAAAUAUGUCAUAGGAAGAUUUAAAUAGAUGUGGUAUUUGUCAAGGUUAUAUAUAUGAGGGGAAACAAUGAUUGGUGAGCCUUACAUGGAAAAUGGGAAAAGUGACAAGGAUUUGAAACAGAAAGGCUGGCUAUGUGUGUAUGGAUUAUUCUCUUUGCCUUUUUGAAGAUGUUUGUGUGAGCUCCUAAAUAGGGCCAAUUUAUAAAUUGAUUAAUAUGCUCAGCUUUUUGAAUUUUAAAGAGAUCUUACCCGUGCCCAUUCGUUACUUGUUUUUCCUAAGUUACUUAAUUGAUUAAUAUAUUUAUAGUGGCAUUUAGCUAUGCUCAGAGGGAUCUUGUUCCAAAAAUAAUUCUAAUAUCACUACCUAUUUUCAUCCAUCAUAUUUAUAAAAUAUAACUAUAUAUUUAAACAGUAUUAGAGUGGUUGCUAUCUACUGGAAUGUAGAUAAACAAACUCUACCUAGGAGCUCUUCCAAAUUACACCUGUGAGUCUCCUACAGAGUGCCAUUGAGGAGAGAGGGAAGGUGUACUUCAUAUUUCAUUGUAUAUCCUCCUGUAAUAUUUAGAUUGUUCUAAAGACAUUUAAUGUUUUUAUUUCUAGAAAACAUCUGGAGAAUUAUUUGUGUGUUGUAGGAUUAGGAUCCACUUUAACUUUUGUUCUUUAUAAUUCUCCACAUUAAGAUUUUAGCUAUACAUUUAUUGGGAUGUAUUGGAGUCCAAAUCACCAACAUAAAAAUACAUAGCUGUCAAUUAGUAAAAGUGAAGUCCCAUUUCAAUGUUAUAUUUAUUUCAUGUUAAAAUAUCUGAAAAAAAAUUGGCUAUGGGUAGAAUGGAAUAACCAAAAGUCUUUAUUAACAAUAAGUAUGUAGAAGAAAGAAUCAAUGUAGGUAAGAAGAACAAUAUUCAGACAACGUGCUAAUACUGAUCUCUGUGGCUACAUUUGUCUUCAAUAUCUUAUUUUAAGAA